rnacentral:rRNA from 1 species
GAUGAACGCUGGCGGCGUGCCUAAUACAUGCAAGUCGAGCGAACAGACGAGGAGCUUGCUCCUCUGACGUUAGCGGCGGACGGGUGAGUAACACGUGGAAACCUACCUAUAAGACUGGGAUAACUUCGGGAAACCGGAGCUAAUACCGGAUAAUAUAUUGAACCGCCUGGUUCAAUAGUGAAAGACGGUUUUGCUGUCACUUAUAGAUGGAUCCGCGCCGCAUUAGCUAGUUGGUAAGGUAACGGCUUACCAAGGCAACGAUGCGUAGCCGACCUGAGAGGGUGAUCGGCCACACUGGAACUGAGACACGGUCCAGACUCCUACGGGAGGCAGCAGUAGGGAAUCGUCCGCAAUGGGCGAAAGCCUGACGGAGCAACGCCGCGUGAGUGAUGAAGGUCUUCGGAUCGUAAAACUCUGUUAUUAGGGAAGAACAAAUGUGUAAGUAACUAUGCACGUCUUGACGGUACCUAAUCAGAAAGCCACGGCUAACUACGUG